GCUGUGGGGGAGGGCAGGUAAUAUGAGCCCUAGAGAAAGGGAUCUGGGGCUGAGAGGAGGAGGAGGGGGAGGCUACGGGCUUUUGAGCACGUUCUCUCCUCCCCUAUGUCACAAGGCACUUCAUCCUUCAUUCCUCUGGCACUGCCUGUCUUGCACAGCUGUUCUCAGACCCACAACUGGAGACUGUCAAAGGUUUAGGUGCGGACUGGGUGCUCAAAGGAGAGAGGGUGGCUUCAGAAUGGUGUGAUAGAGAUCACUGAUGAAUAAGAAUAGUACAAAAAAUAACCAAUACUUACUGAGGGCUCAUUUUGUGCCAGUGCCUACCCUUGAUGACCUUGUGAAAUUCACAACAGCUCUACAAGGGAGGUGUCAUUUUGAGAAGGAAACCUUGGCUCAGAGAGGCUGAGUCACUUGCCCAAGGUUGCGGGGCUCUUCAGAGCCGGAGCCAGGAGUCAAACGCGAGAGGCUGAACCUUAGGGCCCAAGUUCUUGAGGCAGACAGGGGCCCAGUACAUGAUUAUUCCCAUCAGACCCCAUCAGCCUUGGUCAGUGACAAGCAUCAGGGGACAGCCUCCUGCCCAGAUUUUGGACGGCCCCAACGCAAUGAGCCUGGGCAGCAGUGCCCGGCUGCCACCAAGUGAGCCUGGGUUGUCACACCUUGCUUGGGGGUGCCACCCAAGCCCACUGUUGUCCAAAUAGCGCUGGCCGGGAAAAGGUCACCCUGUCACCUCCUACCCCCUACAUCUUAGGGAGAGGUGGGAACAGCACGGGCAGCAGGGGUCCCACAGGGUUCCAGGCAUAGGCUUUCCUGCUUCAGGCUGGCCCUGGCCGAUGGCCUGGUUUUGGGCUUUUCUGUGCUCUGAGCACAUCUAAACAUUUGGAGAAAAACAAGAAAGCGAACAAUAGACGCUUGUGGGUUAGAGGAAUGGGCCCACUUCCCCCUGGGAGUCAGCACUGUUCAUAAGCCGCCCCAGCUGCACUCUCACGGUGGGGAUGUCACUGGAGGCUCCUUGAAUCACAGCCUUGUCCUCCUUGGGGGCCGGCUACUGGCUCCUUUUAUGUAUCGUCGGGGAUGCAAAUGCUAGUGGGGCGGACGGGUGCGCAGGGGGAAGGCAUGUUUUGCUGCCUGAAUUUUGGGAAGUCACACAGCAAAGAUGCAUCCGAGCCUGGCAUUGUCGCUCUGCCAAGGCACCCCUUGACGGACGUGUUCCGAUCAGAGCUGUCUGCCCCACGGGAAAAGAAUCAGCUUUCUAUCAAGUGGACUCUGGGCAUCGCCCCAGAGAGCUGCAGCUCCAAAGGACCCGGAGAGUAAGUGGAGCUCGCUGGUGCUGAGAGCUGUUUGGCGGCGGUGGUGGUGACUCCCUCAGGAAGGGGCCUGUGGGGCAUCGUGCUGGAUGGGAGUAGGAGGAGGGCCCGUGGUGGGCUUCUCUGAGCCGGGCCCCCUCAGGCUGUUCAGAUCCUGGCUUCGCAUCGUCACAGCCAAGGGCAGCACGGCAGGGUGUGUUAGGCCGAGAAAAAGUCGGCGGGUGGAGGGGUGCAAACGGGAGCUCGGAGCCCCUUCUCGUUCAUAGCUGACCCAGGGAUGACAGUCAAGGCCCCAUCAGGCUAAGUCCCCUGAUUGCUCCCGCAUCUACCCCCAGGACCCCCAGACGACCGAGAGGGGCUGACGUGGAGUGUCCCCCGCCUGGAUGGCAUCCCUGGAAAAGGCUGGAGUGUUUCUACAGAGGCUGUUCAGACAUCACAUCACAGUCCCAGACGGCCGAGAGGUUCUUGCACUCACUUGGCUGCCCUCCCUGGGAAAUGCUUUGGAUCAGACAGCACUUCUGGGUUGUUUUUGCCUGAGGAAAGUGGCUCACAGCAUCACCUUCACCCUUGCUCUGAGAAACCGUCAUGAAAUCAAUGCAGCUUUGGAAAGGAAGGAACGUGGCAAAUCCCUAAUCACACCUCACCUUUAAAUACGGUCUUUGACCAUAUUAGGACCAGAAUUUCAUAUAUGCUCCCUAAUUUAUUCUUUUCCUUCACAACUGAACACACAGGCGACUGGCUUGAAUCCAGGGCGCAUUUGAUCGAGGCUACAUAUUCCCCCACUUUCGGCACGCCUAAUGAUUUCCAUCUUUGUCUCAAUUGUGUUUACGAGACCUGCCCUUAUCGCCGGCAUCGGCGCUUCAUUUUUCCAUUUUCCACUCAUUCUUAUAAAAUAACAAGGUCAAAAUGCAA